rnacentral:lncRNA from 1 species
GCGGAAGGAUUAUUUCAGGAAAAUUUUGUUUUUAGUAUGUGACUCAUGAUUUUUAUUUUAUUUUUCAUUUUCUAUUUAUUAAUUUAUUUAUUAUUUAUUUUUGUUUAUAUGUUUUUCAUUUUCAUUUUCUAUCACCGCAUAUGACCAAGAAUCACCGUGCACCGUUGCUGACAGCUACUGCAAACAGUUAUCCCCACCACCUGCCAACCGCCUGAGCGGA